rnacentral:rRNA from 1 species
GAUGAACGCUGGCGGCGUGCUUAACACAUGCAAGUCGAACGAAGCAAUUAAGAUUGAGAUCUUCGGAAGGAUUUCUUAAUUGACUUAGUGGCGGACGGGUGAGUAACGCGUGGGUAACCUGCCUUGUACAGGGGGAUAACAGUUAGAAAUGACUGCUAAUACCGCAUAUGCGCACAGUAUCGCAUGAUACAGUGUGAAAAGUAUUUCGGUACAAGAUGGACCCGCGUCUGAUUAGCUAGUUGGUGAGGUAAUGGCUCACUAAGGCGACGAUCAGGAGCCGACUUGAGAAAGUGAUCGGCAACAUUGGGACUGAGACACGGCACUAACUCCUACGGGUGGCAGCACUUGGGAAUAUUGCACAAUUGGCGAAAGCCUUGUGCAGCGACGCCGCGUGAAUGAUGAAGUAUUUCGUUACGUAAAGCUCUAUCAGCAAGGAAGAUAAUGACGGUACUUGACUAAGAAGCCCCGGCUAACUACGUGCCAGCCGCCGCGGUAACAC